AGCGAACGCUGGCGGCAGGCCUAACACAUGCCAGUCGAACGAACCUUUCGGGGUUAGUGGCGGACGGGUGAGUAACACGUGGGAACGUGCCUCUAGGUUCGGAAUAACUCAGGGAAACUUGUGCUAAUACCGAAUGUGCCCUUCGGGGGAAAGAUUUAUCGCCUUUAGAGCGGCCCGCGUCUGAUUAGCUAGUUGGUUGAGGUAAUGGCUCACCAAGGCGACGAUCAGUAGCUGGUCUGAGAGGAUGAUCAGCCACAUUGGGACUGAGACACGGCCCAAACUCCUACGGGAGGCAGCAGUGGGGAAUCUUGCGCAAUGGGCGAAAGCCUGACGCAGCCAUGCCGCGUGAAUGAUGAAGGUCUUAGGAUUGUAAAAUUCUUUCACCGGGGACGAUAAUGACGGUACCCGGAGAAGAAGCCCCGGCUAACUUCGUG
rnacentral:rRNA from 1 species